rnacentral:rRNA from 1 species
AGCGUUGUUCGGAAUUACUGGGCGUAAAGCGUACGUAGGCGGUUAUUCAAGUCAGAGGUGAAAGCCCGGGGCUCAACCCCGGAACGGCCUUUGAAACUAGGUAGCUAGAAUCUUGGAGAGGUCAGUGGAAUUCCGAGUGUAG